rnacentral:rRNA from 1 species
AUUGAACGCUGGCGGCAGGCUUAACACAUGCAAGUCGAGCGAGCGGCGGAGGGGUGAGUAAUCUAUGGGAAAGUGCCUUAGGGGGGGGGAUCACUAGGGGAAACGGUAUCUCAUCGCGCAUACCAUCCGAUGUGCCGAGGUGGGUGUAGAUAGUGGGGGGGGGAAGGGCUCACCGAGGCGACGAUCCCUCGCUGGUCUGAGAGGAUGACCGGCCACACUGGAACUGAGACACGGUCCAUACUCCUACGGGAGGAAGCAGUGGGGAAUAUUGCACAAUGGGCGCAAGCCUGAUGCAGCCAUGCCGCGUGUGUGAAGAAGGCCUUCGGGUUGUAAAGCACUUUCAUCGAGGAGGCGUUACUCGCAGAAGAAGCACCGGCUAACUCCGUGCCAGCAGCCGCGGUAAUAC